CUUUCCGAAGCAUAGCAUCCUCGCACUUUGGUCAAUUUGACUAAAGUUCGAUAUUUAUUUACCGAAGUUUCGGUAUAUUACACAUCCCCUGUCCGCCCAAGGCUCAACACAUGUACAAUUCAAGUAGAAAGAAUGCACAAGCGGAAACAUACAUAAUGGCUUGCACGAGGGCAAGCAAUAGCCAAAAGUGAAAGAUUCUAAACUACACAAUCAUACAAGUAAUAUGAUUACUUUUAACAACAUACAUGUAUACACCUUUCAUUCACAUUCUUUUCAUCAUUUCUUUCAUACAUCUCAUUUUCCUCAAAAUAGAACUUUUUACAUUCCUGCAUCAUUUAUACAGUUACAUCUUCAAAGACAAAGAA
rnacentral:lncRNA from 1 species